rnacentral:lncRNA from 1 species
UACGGAUAUCCGAAAUUUUAUUGGAACCCGAAUCCCAAGGUAGCGGAUUUAUUCGUUACUAAGGCUUCGUUCGGUUAGGAUAUAAACAACAAUUACAGGGAUAGAUACAAGUAUGGGAUAAAAAAAAUAGCGUUUGGGAUGAAAAUUAAAUUAUUUUCGGGAAUAAAAAAAAUAAGGUUUGGAUAAAUAAUAUGGAAUAAAAAAAAAAUAGUGGGUAGAUAUAUAUAGAAAAUAGAGGUGUUGGUGGGAAUGAUUAUACCAGCUUAUUUCAGAUAUCCGAGAACUACUAUUUUUAGAUAAAAAAUUUGUGUUUGGGUAUAAAGCGGGGAUAAGGGGUUAAACCUCCCAAUAUCCCCGAUCCAAACGCUAUCUAAACGAAUAUGAUUUCGGAUAUAGAUAUUAAAAAUAAAACUCUAAUGAAUAUAGAUGUGAAUAUAAAUUUUGAAUGUACCUGAUCCGAGCCGCAAUUUAUUUUACAUUAUAUAUAAUAUGUAUAUAAAAAUUUGAUGUUAUAUUUGAAUUUGUAUUUCAAAAAUUUAGAUUUAAUGUAAUAUAUUUUGAAAUCUUGAAAAGAGAAAAAAUUAUUUUGGGUUCAGAUUUGGAUAUAAAUUUUUAAAAUCUAUCGGGUUCAGGUUCUGGUUCAGGUUCAGAUUCAAAUUUUGAGUUUAGAGUCGGGUUCGGAUUCGGAUUUUUAAAAAUCUGUCUCGAAUCCGAUCGAUGACAUCCCUAAUUCCUAAUGAUG